GAGACAUUAGUAAAAUUAAUUACAUCACCUUGUCAAGGUAAAAUUAUGGGUUAAAUCCCCAUAUAUCUCU
rnacentral:tRNA from 1 species